CACCUAGCUCUGUUUAUAAAGAUUAUUUUCCAUAUGUGCAUGCUCACAGCUCAGCUUUCUUGCUGGGUGGUGUGCAAGGCAGGAAAGACUAGAUACUCUGGUAGAAUGUGGGAAACAAACUGUGAGUUUUCCAGAAAUAGUCUGAUGCUAGCUUAUGUUUUGGAAUGUGAUGUAAAUUUACUACCAUUGCCUUACUUUAAUUAUAUAAAAAAUUGCUGUCUAUUAAAAAUAUGAAAAAAAAUUCAAUAUACCACUGUUUUACUUUCUUCAGAUUCUGAAUUGUCAUGUUUCUUCUUUGCAGAGGCAACAGUGCAGGACAUUCUGGCACCUGCUGCCAGAUUCUAAGCCUGACUGAAAAAAUUAUUCACUAUGUCUGUGAACUUGGGCAUGUUUCUCAGUCUUUCUGUGCCUCAAUUUUCUUGCCUAGAAAAUGGUAAAACAGAGUCAUUAUGGGGAUUAAUUUUAUGUAUCUAUAUCUAUAUAGUAUCCACACUUAGUGUGUGGCUACUUGUCACCCAACAGUGGUAAUAUUCUCUAUAUUAUUUUUCCUGAGCAAACAUUUGAAAUGUACUUUUCAUGUACAUUUAAAAUGUAACUUAAAAUUUCUUCUAAGUUAAAGCUUCUGGAAUCUUCUGGCAUCUCUGAGAGAAUGCUGUGGGAACUAUUUAAGCAACCUAAAUGUCAAUUCAGAUUUUAAGCUCUAGCCCAGCUUUUCACAAAGAAUCUGGUGAAAUUACUUGACCUUUCACACAAGGACUCGAUGUAAAAAUAGGAGCAGUACUUGAUGUAUUGUCCACAAUCCCUCUUUUCUCUCCCUCACACCCAUCUGACCUCUAGUCAGCGUUGUUGGGCACAGGGGGUGUGGAGGUGCAAGAGCGAGAAGGGUUCCCUGACGAAUACAGGGGUGUCGGACUGUGUUGCCUUCCGUUAUACUGGUGAUGAAAUUCUGUGAAGCAGUGAUGUUCAGAUCUGUGAUGCAUUUGGCGGGGAGACCUCACCUGGUCAGGAAAGACUCACUUCAGGAGGGAACUUGAGAUUAAGUCCAAAGAGUGACAAGUAUCGUUAACUACAAAUGGAAUGAACAGGGCGGGGCAUGUAUUUCAGGCAGAGAUGGAUGAUUAAAGGGAGCCAUUGGUAUGGAAAAUGUAUAUACAUAUUUUUUAAAUUAAUUCUUAUUUUUGGCAGUUAUGGUAUUUUGCUGUUAAAUAUAGUCUACCUAGGAAGAUUCAUGUAACAGUCUUAAAUUUUUAAAUAUAAGAAUGUGUAUGUAUGAAUGACUGGGUCACUACACUGUACAGCAGAAAUUGACACAACACUAAAUCAACUAUGCUCUAAUUUUUAAAAAUGUAAGAAAUGGUUUUUAGGAAUUCUCUGGUGGGGUCAGAUCAUGCAGUUGAUGAAUAAUUUUCAUCACUUUUUAAAAAAUUGAGCACAUUACCCUGUUUUGCUAUUUAUUAGAGGAUAUUUGCCAUUUUUAUUAGAUAUUUAUUAGAGGAUAUUUGCCAUUUAUUAGAGGAUAAUCAAACAAAGCAGGAGAAUCACUUCAUCAGUUAUUUUAUUUCCAGUUACAAAUACUUAUAUUUUUUGGAUUUAGAACUAACCAUUCUGUUUUAUAAUAAUUCUAAUGCAUUUUUUCUCUGUGUUUAUAUUCCUGGAAAUAAAUUACUCUUUGUAGUUUAUGUAACUGUUAAAGUAUAAAAUUGAAUAGACUUUGAGUAACACCUCAUUUGUAUAUUCUAUCAGCAAUUACAUUUCAGCUAAUUUUUAUUUUUAUUUAAAAUUUUUUUUGGCUGUGCCCACAGCAUGCAGAAGUUCCUGGGCCAGGAGUUGAACCCACAAUACAGCCGUAACCAGAACCACAACAGUGAGAACACUGGAUCUUAAUCCGCUGAGCCACCAGGGAUCUUAACCCACUGAGCCACCAGGGAACUCUAUGUCCCUCAGGACUUAAACAUUUCUUGUUAGAAUAAUGAGUUAUGAUAACUGUACAGUCUAUGCCUUCUGAUGCCCUACCUCCAAGUGUUUUGGAGUCUAACGGAAUCUCUCUCACAGGCUUAUGUAGUUUAUCUGGUGUCAACCACAAGGAGCUGGUCUUAAUUUUCUCCUUUGCGCCACCUGCUAAGGUUCUGUCCUGUUCACUGGGCAGUGCUGCUUUUGGUGGUUUUUGUUGCUGAUCCUUUUCUUGGCUGUUGCAAGGACCAUCUGGGCUGGGUCACUGACCGAUUUCGAGGACUGGCUGGUAAAGCUCUCUAGUCUGGGAGUUUUAUUUCUAAAAAGAUUUUUCAUUAUUGAUUUAAUUUUAUUUAGUGGCACAUUCGCCCCAUCAGUCUGUUGUGGUAAAUAAUAGUUUUCUAACAAUUUGCCCAUUUAAUCUGUAUUUUAAAAAUUAUGGCGAUAUUCCUUUUUCAUUCCUGAUAUUGCUUAUUUCUGCCUUCUCUUUUUUCCUAAUCAUCCUGGGACGGGGAGGGGUGUUGACAGUUUAUUUUACAGUCUUUCCCACAAAAGCCAAUUUUUGGCUUUGUUGAUCUUCUCAUACAUGUUUUCUCUUUUAAUCAAAUUUGCUCGUAUCUUUAUUCUCUCCUUUCUUUUGUUUUUGGGUUUAUUUUGCUGGGUUUCCCUCCCAUUGUCUUGAUGAAGCCUUAUCCCACUAAUCUUUACGCCUUUAUAAGACAUUUAAGACUGUACAUUUCCCGUACGUGUUACUUUGGUUGCAUCCUACAGGUUUGGAGAUGCACUGUAUGCUCUAUGCUUUUGAAUCUCAUAAUUUAAAAGAGAGUCUGUGCUGUUGAUCCCUUCAUGUUACAUUUUUCUAUUUUUCCUUCGUUUUCUAAAGCUGAACUUAACCUAUUUUUUUCAAAGCUCCAAUAUGGACACCUACUAAUCAUUUUUUCUUUUAUAAUUGAUAUGGCCCUGCUUUGGCUGAUUCCCAUUCCUCUCCCUUUGGUUGCUUUUUAUCAGUCUUUUCCCACCUUCUGGAGUAGCACAGCAGACCAUGCAGGAGAAAAAGAAAUGAAGAGCCAUGUGUUUCUCUCUAUUUCCCACCCCAUCCCCACCUCGGCUCCAGUAAGAGGGUAUGUUUAUAGGACUAGAAUAGACUAUCUUGGACGCAAAUUGCAGGAAGUACUAUGGGGCCUCCCGGAACCGGAAAAGCUGCUGAACAGCCUGCUUCUCCAUCUCCCUCCGAGACCUCCGGGUCUGUCUGCUGGUUUCAGCUUUGCUUGGCCUUUUGAGUUGUGCUCUCUUGCCUCCCUCUCUCCUGCCGUCCCUCAUUUGCUCCCUCCCUGCCUCCCGCCUCCCCCUUCCAGCCUCUCUGCCUCCUCCCUCCCACUUUCAUCCCUCCCGGCCCCCUCCCAGUCCCCGUUUCCCAGCUUCAUUCUCUCCCUCCAAUCUUGCUUCCAUCCUUGAAUUCUCAGUGUGUCCCCGCCUUCGCACUCCCCCCACCUCCAGACACAAAAGUUGGAAAGUUUCAAAAGUUGGGUAAACCACCACUCGAUACUCCUGAUUUGGGGAUCACAGAAGCCAUAUGGCACUGGCUCGUUACCCUCUAAGAAAACCUAAAGAAAAUCUCCUUUGCCCUCUGAAGUCCUAAAUGGAGCAAGCUGGCUCUGUCCAUAGCGUGUCUAUUCUCUCUGCACCCGGAGCAUCAGGAAUAAACAGGGUCACUGCCCCUUUAAGUAGAAACUGCCUUGAGGGAAGGGUGGAACCUAGGAGACUCCCUGAAGGACCUGGUCCAGGGGAGUGUCAGUUGGGCCUGGGUGGGAAGCCAGCCCCUAGGAAAGCUGCUGCUGUGCCUCGGGAAACUUUCCCUGUAGUCUAGGGAGACACCUGCUGUGAGUAUUUAACUGUAAUUCAGAGAACUGUGCAAAGAAUUGCCCCUUGGUGCUCCUGUUUGUGGUUUAUUACCUUGAAAGGCAGUUGGCUUCCAAAUACCCAUCUUGGAGGGUGAAAUAAGGUUCAGUCCAGCCAUGUGUUACCCGCCUAGUCGGGACAUUGUAAAAGCUAUUUUUUAAAAAAAAAAACCAAAAACACCACUUGGAGGAUUAUUUGGAGAUUACGAAGGGAGGAAUUUUUUUCCUCUCCUUGUUAACUGAGAUGAAUUGUGAGUCCUUUUUCAGUUUAAGGUCUUGAAAGAUGUAGUUGCGUAACAGCUUUUUGAUUUGACUCCCCAGCUGAAGCCACUGUGAAUGGACUUAAAGAUGAUUUCGAAUUUUCUCUUGAGCUUUUCUAUCAGAAAACAUUACCUUCGUUUAUCCAUACUUGGAAAAUGCUGUUGCUGGACUUGAUAUAUGUUUUUGAAAUCAAAGUCUUUAGAUUUCUAUGGAAAGCAUCAGUUGCAUGGUUCUUUUGAAAUGUUCAAAAUUUUGGGGAAUGCUUCUUAGAGAUGAUGAAUUCUAGCUUAAAAAACUAUAACAGUAUGUAUAUGUGUAUGUAUAUACACACACACACAGUGUUUCUACAGUUUCUGUAGAUUGAGCUGAUUUGUAUGCUGGCAAAAGUGCUCAUCCAAUUGUAUAGUGCUACGUAAAUUUCAAAUACUUCAGAGUAUUUGGUGUUAACUUUUACAAUUAAUAAUUAGUUUAGAAUUUAAAAAUUUAAAACCAUUUAAGGUUCAUGAAAGAGCUGUUCACUAGCUUAAAAUUGGAGAAAAUAAUUACAGGAAUUUUGCAUUUGGCUCACUUACAAAAACAGAGUAUAAUUAGUUUUAUUUAAAGAGAGGUGAAUCAAAAAGAUAGUAGACAAGUAAACUUUUAAGUUUUUUACAACUAAAUCUGUAGAUUUCAUCAAUGCUGUUUGAAGAAAAGAUAGACAUUAGAGCUGAAAUUGCAAAUGGGAGAUUUUCUCUUUGGGCAUAAGUGAAAAUUCUUAAAUCUUAAAAGAGAAACAGGCUUUUUGCCUAAAUUAACGGUUGCAUGUGAUGGCAAUUUUUUCUAAUUAUUUUUAGUGAAAGACAAAUUAAUCUAUUUUUAAAAAUUCUAAUAUAGGGAGUUCCUGCUGUGGCUCAGUGGUAGUGAACACAACUAGUAUCCAUGAGGACGCAGGUUUGAUCCCUGGCCUCCCUCAGUGAGUUAAAGAUCUGGCAUUGCCGUGAGCUGUGGUGUAGGUUUCGGACUCGGCUUGGAUCUAGCUUGACUGUGGCUGUGGCAUAGGCUGUCAGCUGCAGUGCCAAUUAUACUUCUAGCCUGGGAACUUCCACAUGCUGCAGAUGCGACUCUAAAAAAAAAAAAGCAAAAAUUUUAAUUUAUCUUGAUUUAUGGGUUCCUGAAGUGUUUAUAAACUUUCUAAUAAGUUUAGGAUAGCGAGUUAGAGAUAAUUUAAUAUCUGAUUGCUAAUGAUCAAAUAAUGUUUGUUUUCAUAACAAUACAGAUGUAGAUGGAAAGAUUAUUUUUUAAAAAAUCACUGAAAUAAAUUAGGUUUUAGUUCUUGAUAAAUAAACAACUAGGAGUUGUUUAUGAUGUAAUUUUUUAGAAUUGGCUUGUAAUGAUUUUUUAAAAGAUAUUACUUUUGUUAAAUAGAACUUAGGAGUCACAAGUGAAUAUCCCACUGAAAUUAAUGAUUAAAUGAAAACAUUUUGGCUAUAUGUUUCAGCUCACUUAUAGCAUUAAAUGAUUUUAUUUGUCCACGUGUUUUGGAUUUUGACUUCUCUGAGUAUUGGCUUUUACAUGUGUUGGCUCAUUUGGAUCCUUGGAAUAACUUGUGAGGCAGGUAAAGCAAAUACUCAGAGGUCAAGAGAUUGCUGCCUGUGGAAGCCUCGCUAGUCAGCUGGCCUGUCCCAGUCUUUCACCUUCUGAGUUUAUAGUUUAUAUGUAGUACAUCUAAAGUAUGCUUAAUAAAUAUUUGUUGGAAUGAAUUAGCAUAUGCUUUUUAUCAUAAAGCAGUAUAACUUCAUAAUGAUUGAAUUAGAAAUCUCUUUACUAAGAAAUUUGGAAGAUAUUAAGAACUUAGAAGGGCAAAGUCUUCAAAUUCAACUACAUGGUAUUGGGUGAAAGAAAAUCAUCUCAUUUGUAUGUGAAAAUCAUAUUUGUAUGUGAUUGUAAUAUAUAAAAAUGUAAUUAUAUAUCUAGGUACAUUAAGAAUAUGUAAUUAUGGAGUUCUCGUCGUGGCACAGUGGUUAACGAAUCUGACUAAGAACCAUUAGGUUGCGGGUUCGGUCCCUGGCCUUGCUCAGUGGGUUAAGGAUCCGGUGUUGCCAUGAGCUGUGGUGUAGGUUGCAGAUGCGGCUCGGAUCCCGCAUUGCUGUGGCUCUGGCUUAGGCCGGUGGUUAUAGUUCCAAUUCGACCCCUAGCCUGGGAAUCUCCACAUGCUGCGGGAGGGUCCCAAGAAAUGGC
rnacentral:lncRNA from 1 species